GACGAACGCUGGCGGCGUGCCUAAUACAUGCAAGUCGAACGAACCGCGACUAGGUGCUUGCACUUGGUCAAGGUGAGUGGCGAACGGGUGAGUAACACGUGGGUAACCUACCUCAUAGUGGGGGAUAACAGUCGGAAACGACUGCUAAUACCGCAUAGGACAUAGGAUCACAUGAUCCAGUGAGGAAAGGUGGCGCAAGCUAUCGCUAAGAGAUGGACCCGCGGUGCAUUAGCUAGUUGGUAGGGUAAAGGCCUACCAAGGCGAUGAUGCAUAGCCGACCUGAGAGGGUGAUCGGCCACAUUGGGACUGAGACACGGCCCAAACACCUACGGGAGGCAGCAGUAGGGAAUCUUCCGCAAUGGACGCAAGUCUGACGGAGCAACGCCGCGUGAGUGAAGAAGGUCUUCGGAUCGUAAAGCUCUGUUGUUAGAGAAGAACAGCGCAUAGAGUAACUGUUAUGCGUGUGACGGUAUCUAACCAGAAAGCCACGGCUAACUACGUG
rnacentral:rRNA from 1 species